UACGAAGGGGGCUAGCGUUGCUCGGAAUGACUGGGCGUAAAGGGCGCGUAGGCGGAUGGCACAGUCAGAUGUGAAAUUCCCGGGCUUAACCUGGGGGCUGCAUUUGAUACGUGUUGUCUUGAGUUCGGAAGAGGGUCGUGGAAUUCCCAGUGUAGAGGUGAAAUUCGUAGAUAUUGGGGAAGAACACCGGUGGCGAAGGCGGGUCGCUGGGCCGACUGACGCUGAGGCGCGAAAAGCGUGGGGGAGCAAACAGG
rnacentral:rRNA from 1 species